AUUGAACGCUGGCGGCAGGCCUAACACAUGCAAGUCGAGCGGAUGAAGGGAGCUUGCUCCUGGAUUCAGGGGCGGACGGGUGAGUAAUGCCUAGGAAUCUGCCUGGGAGUGGGGGAUAACGUCCGGAAACGGGCGCUAAUACCGCAUACGUCCUGAGGGAGAAAGUGGGGGAUCUUCGGACCUCACGCUAUCAGAUGAGCCUAGGUCGGAUUAGCUAGUUGGUGGGGUAAAGGCCUACCAAGGCGACGAUCCGUAACUGGUCUGAGAGGAUGAUCAGUCACACUGGAACUGAGACACGGUCCAGACUCCUACGGGAGGCAGCAGUGGGGAAUAUUGGACAAUGGGCGAAAGCCUGAUCCAGCCAUGCCGCGUGUGUGAAGAAGGUCUUCGGAUUGUAAAGCACUUUAAGUUGGGAGGAAGGGCAGUAAGUUAAUACCUUGCUGUUUUGACGUUACCAACAGAAUAAGCACCGGCUAACUUCGUG
rnacentral:rRNA from 1 species